rnacentral:rRNA from 1 species
GACGGAGGGGCAAGCGUUGUUCGGAAUCAUUGGGCGUAAAGGGCUCGUAGGCGGACUAGUAAGUCUGGCGUGAAAUCUCCACCGCUCACCGGGGAGAGGUCGCUGGAUACUGCUAGUCUUGAGUUCGGUAGAGGGUCGUGGAAUUUCGGGUGUAGCGGUGGAAUGCGUAGAUAUCCGAAAGAACACCGGUGGCGAAGGCGGCGACCUGGGC